GCAGGCUGCAACCCGCCUGCGUGAAGUUGGAAUCGCUAGUAAUCGCGGAUCAGCAUGCCGCGGUGAAUACGUUCCCGGGCCUUGUACACACCGCCCGUCACGCCAUGGGAGUCGGAAAUGCCCGAAGUCAGUGACCCAACCGUAAGGAGGGAGCUGCCGAAGGUGGAGCCGGUAACUGGGGUGAAGUCGUAACAAGGUAAC
rnacentral:rRNA from 1 species